CCUUACUACCCUUGACAUGUCCGGAACUUGCCAGAGAUGGCUUGGUGCCGAAAGGGAAUCGGAACACAGGUGCUGCAUGGCUGUCGUCAGCUCGUGUCGUGAGAUGUUGGGUUAAGUCCCGCAACGAGCGCAACCCUUAUCAUUAGUUGCUACGCAAGGGCACUCUAAUGAGACUGCCGGUGACAAACCGGAGGAAGGUGGGGAUGACGUCAAGUCCUCAUGGCCCUUAUGGGUAGGGCUUCACACGUCAUACAAUGGUCGGUACAGAGGGUUGCCAAGCCGCGAGGCGGAGCCAAUCCCACAAAGCCGAUCGUAGUCCGGAUUGUUCUCUGCAACUCGAGAGCAUGAAGUCGGAAUCGCUAGUAAUCGCAGGUCAGCAUACUGCGGUGAAUACGUUCCCGGGUCUU
rnacentral:rRNA from 1 species